AGGAUGAACGCUAGCUACAGGCUUAACACAUGCAAGUCGAGGGGCAGCGGGAUUGAAGCUUGCUUCAAUUGCCGGCGACCGGCGCACGGGUGAGUAACGCGUAUCCAACCUUCCGUACACUCAGGGAUAGCCUUUCGAAAGAAAGAUUAAUACCUGAUGGUAUGAUGAGAUUGCAUGAUAGCAUCAUUAAAGAUUUAUCGGUGUACGAUGGGGAUGCGUUCCAUUAGGUAGUAGGCGGGGUAACGGCCCACCUAGCCGACGAUGGAUAGGGGUUCUGAGAGGAAGGUCCCCCACAUUGGAACUGAGACACGGUCCAAACUCCUACGGGAGGCAGCAGUGAGGAAUAUUGGUCAAUGGACGAGAGUCUGAACCAGCCAAGUAGCGUGAAGGAUGAAGGUCCUACGGAUUGUAAACUUCUUUUAUAAGGGAAUAAACCCUCCCACGUGUGGGAGCUUGUAUGUACCUUAUGAAUAAGCAUCGGCUAACUCCGUG
rnacentral:rRNA from 1 species